rnacentral:rRNA from 2 species
AUAGCGUAUAUUAAAGUUGUUGUGGUUAAAAAGCUCGUAGUUGAACCUUGGGCCUGGCUGGCCGGUCCCCCUCACCGGGUGCACUGAUCCAGCCGGGCCUUUCCCUCUGUGGAACCCCAUGGCCUUCACUGGCUGUGGCGGGGAAACAGGACUUUUACUUUGAAAAAAUUAGAGUGCUCCAGGCAGGCCUAUGCUCGAAUACAUUAGCAUGGAAUAAUAGAAUAGGACGUGUGGUUCUAUUUUGUUGGUUUCUAGGACCGCCGUAAUGAUUAAUAGGGACAGUCGGGGGCAUCAGUAUUCAAUUGUCAGAGGUGAAAUUCUUGGAUCUAUUGAAGACUAACUACUGCGAAAGCAUUUGCCAAGGAUGUUUUCAUUGAUAAGGAACGAAAGUUAGGGGAUCGAAGACGAUCAGAUACC